GUCAGCCUCAUCCUCUUGGAACCAUUUGUCCAAAGCAUCCCCUUGUUCCUGGUGACAAAUUCUGACCAAGUCCUCCCCAAUCUAAACGCCUGGCAAGGAAAAAACAACAGCCCGAGGCCACCUUGCCCUCAGUGGAGCUUCAGGCAAAGCCACAUGCAUGAGGAGAGGCAUCUCCUUGUUUAAUAUCUGCUCGGCCGCCCAGGAUCAUGAAACCAUAGUGCCAGCUCCAAACCCUGAGCCAGAGCCAAGCAGGAAUGGAAAGAAAUGAAGGAGUGGGCAGAACCACGGGCUUCCGCUGUGCAGACGUCCCUGUGGGCCAGGCCACUGCCCUUCCUCCUCAUGCCCGCAAGUGCUGACACAUGCCAUGGUCUGCGUGCCAUUCUCUGGGAGCCUCCUGUGGAAAGGCGCACUGCAGGUAAUGGUGUCGCAUCAACUUCUGGGAGCGCUAAAGCUGAGUUGUGGCCUAAUGUGUUUUUAGGCAACUCAUUUCUGCAGCAGUGGCCACUGCCUUCUGGUCCCCGCGUCUUGCACAACCUUCCAAAGCGCCAAUGGACCUCCCCACAGCCUCGGUGUCAGGUGAAACUACGUUUCAGAUGGAUGUGCAGCUAAGACCCUGAGAAGCAAACUAGGGGAGAGCGGGAGGGUCCUGAUAUACUGCUGGAAGUCUGCAGACCCCUGUCCUUGCUUCCAAACAAAGACAAGCACAUGUAGCAUAGUUGUCCUGCGCCCCGCGGGGCAAGCGGCUUUCCUUCGGGAGCCCUCUCUGCACGACAGCUGCUCCCGGGCAAUUGCAGCUGUUGAGCUCCCCCUCCAAAGGUUCAGCCAUCCAGCCAGUCCACGGAGAGAGACGGUGACCCCCAGUUUCUCACCUAAUGAAUAUCUAGUAGCAGAUACACAUUGAGCGCCCGUUUUAUGCUGAACACGGGACCAGAGACAAGUUACCAGAGAGAAAAAGCUGUGCUCCCCACCUCCACGUCCUAAAAGACUCUGACAGCCUAGGUAACAAUUUACACCUCUUCCCAACUCUGCGUUCAGAAGAUGUCACGGGGGCAGCUUGAAAUCAGUCAUGUGGGGGAAUUUACAGCACAGAAGCGGGCAACCACUUCAGGCCUGGGUUUUGUUAUUGCUGCUUUGGUUUCUGUGGUGUGCUUUUGUACGUGUGUGUGUUUGAGGUGGUUUGCCAGCACAUCACUAUACAGCAACAGUGCGACUGAAUAUCUAGGACAGAAAAGCACAGUCUUCUGCCUUAAGGGAUGGGGUAAGGCUUUUACACAGGAGAGGGCAUACUGUGUGUGCAUUUCAAGCUGAGUAAGAUUUCACCAGGCAGCAAAAGAGGAACAAAGAAUUCCAGAAAGAAUAACCUGAGUCAAGGCACAGACGUUUCUAAUUCAAAAGGCUCUAGAGAUUCAGAGAAGGAAACCAAUACAGUCUGAUGUGCUGCCCAGGGAAGGCUGCUGCUGCUAAGUCACAUCAGUCAUGUCUGACUCAGUGUGACCCCAUAGAUGGCAGCCCAUCAGGGCUCCUUUGUCCCUGGGAUUCUCCAGGCGAGAGUACUGGAGUGGAUUGCCUUGCCUGCUCCACCAGGGAAGGCAAUUGAGCUUUAAAGAAUAGAUAGGAUGGGUCUUUGGCAGAUGAGGCGUGGGGAUGGAUAGGGAGGAAGGACAUGAGGAUGGAGCAAACGUCGCAGGUCAGGUAAGAAAAGGGAGAUCUGGAAUUAGGUCCUUGCAGUCAGGAAAAAUUAGGUCCUUGUCAUCAGGAAAAAUGAAAUUGAUAGUCAUUUUUCUGUAUCUGCCUCCAUUUUCCUUUUUUCCUUGAGACCAUUUCAAUCCAUCUCUGUCAACACAUGUCUGCCUCCAAUCCCUCUUUAUUUCAGGAGCCCAUCCUCUCUAGAUAUUCCCAUGAAACUCCUUUUCUCUAUCAACCAUCUACAUGCUAGUAUGAAUUUCAAUCAGUUAUCCACAUGCUCUGAUAAAUUGCAGCUAACUUUCUGCCUCUAUGUGUGACACAUGCAUUUAAAUCUCUAACUGGGCACUUUCUUAGGUGCUUCCCUGCAAGUGACAAGAUAAAACCCAGUCUGAUCAGCAUGGAGCUGGGUAGCUCAGCUUAGGAAGGAAAGACUGAUACCUCUCUCUUCUAUCCUUCCAAUCCUUGGAGUCCCCAUGGUAGAUGUUACACGUAAAGGAGAACAGUGAGUGAAGCUGCACAGAAAAACCAUAGCUUCCAUGUGUCUGCACAUCAUAAAGACAGCAAGGAGCUAUCUCCAGUUCAGACUCUGAUGUUAUCAGUAUCAUCCCCAGGUGAGAAACUCCUUACUUAAAAAGCACUACUUAUUCCCUUCCUUUUCCCCAAUAACACAAAUAGCAGAGAAAUUCUGUUUUUAUGGUUUAAAAAUUAGCACAAAAGACCGUCACAUUAAAAUGGCUGAAAUCCAGAACACUGGCAACAUGAAAUGCGGGUGAGGAUGUGGAGUGACAGGAAUUCUCAUUUGUGGCUGGUGGGGAUGCAAAAUGACACAGCCACUUUGGAAGACAGUUUGGCAGUUUCUUACAAGGCUAAACAUACCCCUACCACACAAUCCAAUGUUUUCAGGGUUUGAUGAGAACAUUUUUCUACAGCAGUGGUUCUCCAAGAGCAAGCCUCAGACCCAGAGCAUGAGAGUCACCUGGAAACAUAUUAGAAAUGCAAAUCAUCAGGGCCCCCCACCCCGACAGACCUACUUAAUCAGAAACCCAUGGUGGGGGUGGCAGGCAGGGAAUAGAGCAAUCUGUGUUUCGACAGAUUUUCAGGGGCCUCUGAUGAAAAUUAAACUUAGGUCACCGGCCCUUGACGCUUCCAGCUCAGACGUGUGGUCCAUGGACCUGCAGCACCCACACUGCCUGGGAGCUUGUGAGAAACACGAAAUCUCAAGCCUCACCUCCAGCCCCACUGAGUCAGCAUCUGCAUUUUAACAAGACUACUGAGGAGACUUGACAGGCUCAAAAUUGAGAAGUGCCCUUCUAGAGCACUUUGGAAAAAAGGUGCCUUCCAUUAGGAAACUCAUCAAGGGCUGUGAAUGAUCGAAACGGUCCCACAUUCCUACCACUUCUUCCACCAAGGGAUGAUAUCUAUGUCCCAUUCACUUGAAGGCAUUGGCCAGUGACACAGUUCCAUUGAUAGAUAUGGCUGUGUUGAUGCUGUCUAUGCUCCCAGGCUAUUGUAAAGUCAUUAGCCUCCAACUAAUAAAAAGAAAUGAAAAAAAAAAAAAAAAGACCUGAGGUUUCUGCCUUCAUCGCUGAGAAUAGUGUCCUGUGGGACUCAGUCAACACACUGUCAGAAGCCCCUGGAGAUGCCGGGAUGAGGAGGGGAACUAAGACUGUCUGAUUCCCACGCGCCCUGGCUCUCUUCUGAUAGCCCAUCGGCAGCCAUGGGAAUAAGCCAUGGAGCAUGUCCCAACCCUGAUGAACCCACAGGAGCAGAAGACACCCCACUGAAGUCGUUCACCCCCACAGACUUGCAGCAGGUCUUUCUUACUGGCAUCACUACAGAGGCUAGUGGGUCUACACCCUCCACUCUGUGCUAAACACUCGAGGGUAUAUGAUGUGGAAGUGCAGACAGCACACGAUCAACAAGCAAAGGAGUACACUGGCCGUGUGUCUGCCACCUGGUACCCUAUGCAGACGUCCCCCGGAGGGGGAGCAUCUCCACGGUAUGCAUGUGGCACCAGGAGAGAAAGCGCAGGUGUAGAGUCACAGGAAAAGCCAGGAAGUCUGGUGAGAUGUCUGUUCCAGCCACUUGCUGAGCCCAGUAUGGCCAGAGGAAUGCCCCUCAAGGCCACCCACCCGGCUCUGUUCAGCUUCUAUGGUCAACCACCAACCGCUACUUAGGAGUCAACUGAGGAGUGUGAAAUAAAUGAUGAUUUAUUUACAAAGCCUCCAAGACUUUAGAGCUAUUUGUUAUAUAGCAGAAUCCCAGCAAAAGCCUAGCACAGUCAAGAAAUUAAACAUUUCCACAAUGAAUUCAGAGUGUUAAGGAUGCCAGGAACUAAAAAGGACUGAAUGUGAAGCAGCUGAACUGGGGUGGAUGAACCUAGAGCCUAUUAUACAGAAUAAAGUCAGUCAGAAAGAGAAAAAAGUAUCAU